rnacentral:sRNA from 1 species
UUGAGACAAGGUCUAUGUAGACAAGGCUAGGUCUUGAACUCAGAGACCUAGCUGCCUCUGCUUCCCAGUGCUUGAUUAAAGGAACAGAUUACCAUGCUCAGCUUCAACUCCUUUAAAUUAAUAAGUAUAUAUGGUCACCUGGGAAACUUGGAUGCUUUUCACAAGAACUUUCAUAAUACCUGAGAGCUAAAAAUAAUCCAAGUAAAUUCAUAAAACAAGGGAACAGUUACAGUUAACUACCAAAAGUACCUUAGGGACUAUAAAUAUAAAAAAAAUAUAAUCUAGACUGUUCAGAAACACCACAUUUCUGAUUUUUAUGUGAGCGGGUCUUCUCACAUUUUUUAGGCUCUAAAUACAACCUCUGAGUUGUUAGUUUAGCAACUACAUCUGAGUUUCUGAGUUCUAAGCUGGGUUUAGCAGCAUACCCUAUUAUCCCAGCAUUUGUGCCAGAGACCAAGAGUGCAAAAUCAUCCUGAGUUACACAGCGAGUAAAUGGCCAGCUUGAGCUACUAGACCCUUUCUCAAAACAAACACAAAACAGAAAUAAAAGCAAGAAUAGACAGAGCAGGCAAACCUACAAAUUUUAUAAAGAACUGCAGAAAAGUGGGCCAUCCCUUGAUUCCCUAGUCUUCUGUACCAAGUUCAACCCCAGCUGUCACAACCACACAGCCCCUCUACUCCCAAAGGCGUCCUUUACUCUAGUCAUCCCAUCAUGUUGUUUUCAUGCUCCCAUGCCUUGGCAUGUAUUAUUUCUCUCUGCCUAGAAAGCAUUUUUAAAGGUAAACUACUCAUACUUUAAUAAUGAGCUUAAAUACCCACAAGGCCUUAUAAAGCCAGCCUUCCAUUACCCAGCAUUCCUCCUGUCCAGCACUGGCAGUGUGUGCUAUUGCUCAAGUAUAUCCUAUUCAGACAAAGUAACCACCAUGCAGGAACCAAGUGAACUCUGCUUGACAGGCUCUUUCUGAGCAAACAACUUUAUAUGAAGCAUUUUAAGGAAGGCUAAAAGGAGAUGCAAGAAAAGUCAUUUUCUCACCUCCACCCUCCCUCCCUGGUUGUUUUCAAUAAUGGAGAAGAGUUCCACAGAGUGCUAAGCAAACAAGCACCACAUUGAGCUAUACUCGCAGUGCUCCCACCCCAACUCUAAAAUCUUCUGACUGUCACUUAGGGACCAGACAGGAUAGGUUCUCUCACAUACCACCAGGCCCAAGCCCUUUUCCACAGUUAUACUCCUGACCUCUGUCAUGUCCCACUGACUCAUACAUCUAGCUGUGUCCUAGAGCAAGCUACCUAAACGCUCUCAACCGCCUCACAGGGAAGAAGAAAGGCUCAUCAGUUUUGCAGCUGCUUUAGGGUUAGAUGAUGCACACUUAAACAUACAUACAUCAAAACAAAGUUCAAGAUAAGUGACAUAGAAGUGAAUGCUUUAAUCACAAAGUCUUAACAGAAUGGAAUACUGCACUAUCAUAAAAAGGAGCAUAAUAGAAUUCUAACAAGAACAACCUUUAUAUUUGAGAGUGAACAACGUAAUUAAUAGCUUGUCUUCAGCUGCAUGCUUUUGCUCCCCAUGACUACCAGGUCCCUGGGUUCCUGUGACAAUAUCAAGUCUUGGUUUCCUGGUCCCUCUUACCACAGUUCCUGGCCUCUCCAUAACUUGCCUUUCGUUGAUACCUACAGGCAGAUACUCUACACCCCUUUACUUCUCAGAGCUCCUCUCACUGCUUCCAUUAGUCUGACCUUCAAUUAAGACUCUCCCAAUCUCUCUGUCACAUAAACACAGUAUUUCAAAGUUAAAUUCACUCAGGGCUGGAGCAAUAGCUCAGGAUUUGAGGGUGCUUGCUGUUCUUGCACAGAACUCCAGCUCAGCAUUAGGACUCACAAAUGCUUGUGGCCUUCAAGGAAAGACUGACAGACAGACAGGACAAACAAGACACACACAGUGAAAUACAUUGGUUUUUUUUUUUAAAAGACCGUCUUUAAAAGUGUUAUCUUAGCAGACAACCUAGCACACAACUUCCGUUUCUUCUGAUGUUUGCCAUUCUCCUAUACAGUCCAGCAAUUCUCAGGUUUCUCUUCUUUGCCAGUGAUGCUUUUAUUCCUCCUGUUUUGUCAGUGGUUCUUACCUAUACUGGGGAUCAUGAACCCUUCUGAAAAUCUCCUAAUUUUUAUACCGAAAAGAUGCUGAACAUGCAUGUUUACAAUUUUAAGAAACCAGUGCCUCAAAUAAUAAUUUGCACUCCUCCACUCAAGAUUUUCACUAUUACUCAUGGUAUAGAAAGGUUUCUUUUUUUCUGUAUGUUUUGUCUGCUUAUGUUUGUAUAUCAUGUGUCUGUGGAGCCAGAAGAAGAGGUCAGAUCCCCUGGAACCAGGGUUAAGGGCAGUUGCAAGCUACCAUUUGAACCCAAGCCAUCUGCAAGAACAAAUGCUAUUAAUGCUGAGCAACCUCUCCAGCCUGUUACACUUCACAAACUGACACAGCCAUCUCUGUUUCUCCAUGGUAAACCUGCUUUGCCUUCAGGACCCCCUCUCUUGGAUUAUGGCACCAGUCCUACACUUCUCAUUUUAGCUCAGCAAUCUUUAAACCUAAACCCAUCUUUCUUGGCUCCCCACCUUAUAACUACCUUGUCUUCAUUAAAUCUCUUAUGACUUUCCACAAGACCUCUUAUGACUGAUUCUGUCUGCUCAAGAGUCCUCCUCUCCAAUGACACUUAAUUACUGUACCUUGAGAUGGCAACAAUGGCCUAAUUGCUGUAUCACCACCAAAAUUAAAUUUGCCUACAACUCUCAAAAACAUCACUGCUUUCUUUCCCACCGCCUUUUCUUACGGAGUCCUCUACGGUGUUUUACCUAAAUACUUUUCUAAGGUUAGACUCAUCAGCUCAAGCUGUUACUUGUUCCUAUUAUCUGCCUAUCAAAAUCACACCCACUCUUAAAUGCCCAACUCAAAACCCAGUCUUCUUCUAAAAACAUUUUAUUUUUAAUUAUGUGCAUUCAUAUACAUACAUAUGUGUGCACACAGAAGAACCCAUAAGAGGUCAGAGACAUCAAGACUACUUGAAGUUACAAGCUGUUAGGAACUGAAUUCUGGUUGUAGCUCUUAACUGCUACACCUCCCACACCCA